rnacentral:lncRNA from 1 species
ACCAGAUCUUCUUAUUUUAUAUAAUACCUCUUACAACACGUUUCAAUGUGAACAAGGGAACCAUUCUGUAGCCUUGUCUUUAAGGUACAAUAGAUGCCACAACAUCUGGAGAUAUGGAAUAAAUCAAUAAGAAACGGUGAAGCAUUUGGCAUAACAGUGUUGUACGUGCGAUCCAUUAAGUUAUACGAGAAGUAAAUAAGUGUAGCCAGCA